rnacentral:rRNA from 1 species
UACGAAGGGGGCUAGCGUUGCUCGGAAUUACUGGGCGUAAAGCGCACGUAGGCGGUCUUUUAAGUCGGGGGUGAAAUCCUGGAGCUCAACUCCAGAACUGCCUUCGAUACUGGAAGACUUGAGUCCGGGAGAGGUGAGUGGAACUGCGAGUGUAGAGGUGAAAUUCGUAGAUAUUCGCAAGAACACCAGUGGCGAAGGCGGCUCACUGGCCCGGUACUGACGCUGAGGUGCGAAAGCGUGGGGAGCGAACGGG